AGAGAAUAAAAUUUUAUACACUGUUCAGGUUCAUUAAUCUCUACUGUAUAAAAUGCUGAGCCAAAUUCUGAAAAAAUAAAAUGUCUGGAUGUUCCUAGAUUAGAGUCUGAGGACUCAGGAAUAUUUUCCCUAAUGGACAUAGUGUAAUUUUAAUUUUCUGUGCAUGUAUUUUCAGAAAUAACCAGUGUAAAUUAGUUGCAUCAAAUAAUUUGCUCAAUUUCUUCUCAUAAAAUUUCAGGAAGCAAAGAGAGACCAGAGCCUCAAAAUCUCUUGUAGAAAGCUGUUGAUGGAGUGAUUGCUGGAUAACAUGAGAGGACAACUUUGGUGAAGCUUUAUCUUUUGAGAUGGAGGACCCAAAUAUGAAAAUCCUUAAUCUGACAACUAAACCACAUUUCUCAUUUCAAAGAUGGAUAAUCAGGGAGAAGGAUGGAGGAAGAAAUAGCCAAAUUACAUAAAGCUCUCAAAAAGCACAUACUCAAGUUAAAAUCAAGCAGAUACUUCAGUGCUUUGCUUAAUCAGAAUCCAAAUCUCUCAGAAGGAGCAUGCAGGUACUGUUCUGGUUUGUAGAGCUACUAACAGAUGUUGGCACCAUAGCUGGCUGGUCAAGCCAGUGACUAUGGAUGAAGUCUCUAUCAGUAUGGUUUCAAGAAUUCCUCUGAUUUCUAGGCAGGAGUAAAAAAUUUUAAGUAUUCUCAUGAGUUAGAAAAAUCAAAGUAAAUGUGGCAUUAGAUUGUGGCAUGGACAAUGUAUUUUUGGUUCAAAAUAUAUGCAUGCACGUUCAACAAGAAUAAG
rnacentral:lncRNA from 1 species